rnacentral:rRNA from 1 species
GUGUCAGCAGCCGCGGUAAAACGUAGGAGGCGAGCGUUAUCCGGAUUUACUGGGUGUAAAGCGCGUGCAGGCGGAUCGGUAAGUUGGAUGUGAAAGCUCCCGGCUUAACUGGGAGAGGUCGUUCAAAACUACCGGUCUUGAGUACAGUAGAGGGAAGUGGAAUUCCGGGUGGAGUGGUGAAAUGCGCAGAUAUCCGGAGGAACACCAGUGGCGCAAGCCGCUUUCUGUAC